rnacentral:lncRNA from 1 species
GCCGAUCUGUCACGUGCUGGCCUUUUCCAGAGACCACUGUCUUUUCUUCAUACUCCAAUAAACUAGUAAAUAAGUUCAUUAAUGUUUUUAUUCUGGAGUUCGACCACGGAUUCCAUUCCAACUGGAUUUUCAAGAAGGUUUUACCCGUUGACAACUAACCUUAGUUAAUAUUACGCGUGGUUUCUUUCGUAUAAUUGGAAUGGUGGUGGGGUAAUCUGUG